UACGUAGGGUCCAAGCGUUAUCCGGAAUCACUGGGCGUAAAGCGUGCGUAGGCGGCGUGUUAAGUGUGAUGUUAAAUCGUGGGGCUCAACCCUGUCGGUGCAUCACAUACUGGCAUGCUAGAGGAAGGCAGAGGCAAGUGGAAUUGGUAGUGUAGCAGUGAAAUGCGUAGAUAUUACCAGGAACACCAAUGGCGAAGGCAGCUUGCUGGGCCUUUUCUGACGCUGAGGUACGAAAGCGUGGGGAGCGAACAGG
rnacentral:rRNA from 1 species